rnacentral:rRNA from 1 species
CCUACGGGGGGCAGCAGUGAGGAAUAUUGGUCAAUGGACGAGAGUCUGAACCAGCCAAGUAUCGUGAAGGAUGACUGCCCUAUGGGUUGUAAACUUCUUUUAUAUGGGAAUAAAAUGUUCCACGUGUGGGAUUUUGUAUGUACCAUAUGAAUAAGGAUCGGCUAACUCCGUGCCAGCAGCCGCGGUAAUACGGAGGAUCCGAGCGUUAUCCGGAUUUAUUGGGUUUAAAGGGAGCGUAGGUGGAUUGUUAAGUCAGUUGUGAAAGUUUGCGGCUCAACCGUAAAAUUGCAGUUGAAACUGGCAGUCUUGAGUACAGUAGAGGUGGGCGGAAUUCGUGGUGUAGCGGUGAAAUGCUUAGAUAUCACGAAGAACUCCGAUUGCGAAGGCAGUUCACUGGACUGCAACUGACACUGAGGCUCGAAAGUGUGGGUAUCAAACAGGAUUAGAUACCCCAGUAGUC